rnacentral:rRNA from 1 species
UACGUAGGGGCCUAGCGUUGUCCGGAAUCAUUGGGCGUAAAGAGCUCGUAGGCGGUUCGGCAAGUCACGUGUGAAAUCUCCACGCUUAACGUGGAGGCGCCACGUGAAACUGCCGUGACUCGAGUCCGGUAGGGGAGUGUGGAAUUCCCGGUGUAGCGGUGAAAUGCGCAGAUAUCGGGAGGAACACCAGUAGCGAAGGCGGCACUCUGGGCCGGUACUGACGCUGAGGAGCAAAAGCGUGGGGAGCGAACAGG